GGGCGGUUAGCUCAGCUGGGAGAGCGACGGAGUCACAAUCCGUAGGCCACAGGUUCGAUCCCUGUACCGCCCA
rnacentral:tRNA from 1 species